CCUACGAGUGGCUGCAGUGAGGAAUAUUGGUCAAUGGACGAGAGUCUGAACCAGCCAAGUAGCGUGAAGGAUGACUGCCCUAUGGGUUGUAAACUUCUUUUAUAUGGGAAUAAAAUGUUCCACGUGUGGGAUUUUGUAUGUACCAUAUGAAUACGGAUCGGCUAACUCCGUGCCAGCAGCCGCGGUAAUACGGAGGAUCCGAGCGUUAUCCGGAUUUAUUGGGCUUAAAGGGAGCGUAGGUGGAUUGUUAAGUCAGUUGUGAAAGUUUGCGGCUCAACCGUAAAAUUGCAGUUGAAACUGGCAGUCUUGAGUACAGUACAGGUAGGCGGAAUUCGUGGUGUAGCGGUGACAUGCUUAGAUAUCACGAAGAACUCCGAUUGCGAAGGCAGUUCACUGGACUGCAACUGACACUGAGGCUCGAAAGUGUGGGUAUCAAACAGGAUUAGAUACCCCUGUAGUC
rnacentral:rRNA from 1 species